rnacentral:rRNA from 1 species
AUGCCUUAUAAUGCAGUCGUACGAGAGUUUUUAACUCAAGUGGCGGACGGGUGAGUAACACGUAAGAAUUUACCUUUAGGAGGGGGACAACAACUGGAAACGGUUGCUAAUACCCCAUAUGCUUUGAAGUGAAACGGAUUUUCCGCCUAAAGAGAAGCUUGCGGCUGAUUAGCUUGUUGGUAGAGUAAUAGCCUACCAAGGCGACGAUCAGUAUCUGGUUUGAGAGGACGAUCAGACACACUGGAACUGAGACACGGUCCAGACUCCUGCGGGAGGCAGCAGUAGGGAAUUUUCCGCAAUGGGCGAAAGCCUGACGGAGCAAUACCGCGUGAGGGAUGACUGCCUAUGGGUUGUAAACCUCUUUUUUCAGGGAGGAAUAAAUGACGUGUACCUGAAGAAUAAGCAUCGGCUAACUCCGUGCCAGCAGCCGCGGUAAGACGGAGGAUGCAAGUGUUAUCCGGAAUCACUGGGCGUAAAGCGUCUGUAGGUGGUCAAAUAAGUCAACUGUUAAAUCUUGAGGCUCAACCUCAAAAUCGCAGUCGAAACUAUUAGACUAGAGUAUAGUAGAGGUAAAGGGAAUUUCCAGUGGAGCGGUGAAAUGCGUAGAGAUUGGAAAGAACACCGAUGGCGAAGGCACUUUACUGGGCUAUCACUGACACUCAGAGACGAAAGCUAGGGUAGCAAAUGGGAUUAGAUACCCCAGUAGUCCUAGCCGUAAACAAUGGAUACUAGGUGUUGAACAGAUCGACCUGUGCAGUACUAAAGCUAACGCGUUAAGUAUCCCGCCUGGGA